AUACGGAGGGUGCAAGCGUUAAUCGGAAUUACUGGGCGUAAAGCGCGCGUAGGCGGUUUGAUAAGUCGGAUGUGAAAUCCCCGGGCUCAACCUGGGAAUUGCAUUCGAUACUGUCAGGCUAGAGUGUGGUAGAGGGAAGUGGAAUUUCCGGUGUAGCGGUGAAAUGCGUAGAUAUCGGAAGGAACACCAGUGGCGAAGGCGGCUUCCUGGACCAACACUGACGCUGAGGUGCGAAAGCGUGGGGAGCAAACAGGAUUAGAAACCCUAGUAGUCC
rnacentral:rRNA from 1 species